GCGAAUCCGAAUGGAGUAGUCGAUGGGCAGCCGGUUAAAAUUCCGGCACUUGCGAUAACUGCGAUGGGGUGACAGAGUAGUGUAUUACCUGCGUACUGACGGAAUAGUACGUUGAAUGGUGUAGAUAUAUUUUCCACAGGCAAAUCCGUGGAGAAUGUCGAACCUGAUAGUACCGGAAGGCUUCGGCUGACUGGAUAAUGGUAAGAAUCAGACUUUCAAGAAAAACCUCUAAGCUUCAGGUUAUUGCGACCCGUACCGUAAACCGACACAGGUAGUCGAGGAGAAUAUCCAAAGGUGCUCGAGUGAUUCAUGGCUAAGGAACUAGGCAAAUUAAUCCUGUAACUUCGGGAAAAAGGAUGCCGCAGCGAUGCGGCCUCAGCAAAAUGGCCCUGGCGACUGUUUAACAAAAACACAUGGCUUUGCAAAAUAGCAAUAUGAAGUAUAAGGCCUGACACCUGCCCGGUGCUGGAAGGUUAAGAGGAGAUGUCAUCCGUAAGGAGAAGCAUUGAAUUGAAGCCCCAGUAAACGGCGGCCGGGUCCUAAGGUAGCGAAAUUCCUUGUCGGGUAAGUUCCGACCUGCACGAAUGGUGUAACGAUCUGGGCACUGUCUCAGCCAUGAGCUCGGUGAAAUUGAAGUAACGGUGAAGAUGCCGUUUACCCGUAACGGGACGAAAAGACCCCGUGAACCUUCACUACAACUUAACAUUGAUUUUGGGUAACUGAUGUGUAGGAUAGGUGGGAGACUGUGAAGCGGGCACGCUAGUGUUCGUGGAGUCAACGUUGAAAUACCACCCUUUAUUUACUUGGAAUCUAACUUUCGUAAGAAAGGACAUUGUUUGGUGGGUAGUUUGACUGGGGUGGUCGCCUCCAAAAGAGUAACGGAGGCUUUCAAAGGUACCCUCAGUACGGUUGGUAACCGUGCGCAGAGUGCAAUAGCAUAAGGGUGCUUGACAGUGAGACCUACAAGUCGAUCUGGUAGGAAACUAGGAUAUAGUGAUCCGGUGGUUCCGUAUGGAAGGGCCAUCGCUCAAAGGAUAAAAGGUACUCCGGGGAUAACAGGCUGAUCAUUCCCAAGAGCUCACAUCGACGGAAUGGUUUGGCACCUCGAUGUCGGCUCGUCACAUCCUGGGGCUGGAGAAGGUCCCAAGGGUUCGGCUGUUCGCCGAUUAAAGUGGCACGC
rnacentral:rRNA from 1 species